rnacentral:rRNA from 1 species
AGAGUUUGAUCCUGGCUCAGAUUGAACGCUGGCGGCAUGCCUUACACAUGCAAGUCGAACGGCAGCGCGGGGCAACCUGGCGGCGAGUGGCGAACGGGUGAGUAAUAUAUCGGAACAUACCCUAGAGUGGGGGAUAACGUAGCGAAAGUUACGCUAAUACCGCAUACGAUCUGAGGAUGAAAGUGGGGGAUCGCAAGACCUCAUGCUCAUGGAGUGGCCGAUAUCUGAUUAGCUAGUUGGUAGGGUAAAAGCCUACCAAGGCGACGAUCAGUAGCUGGUUUGAGAGAACGACCAGCCACACUGGAACUGAGACACGGUCCAGACUCCUACGGGAGGCAGCAGUGGGGAAUU